AAUAGUCCUACACUUUGAAACCGUACUUUGGUCUCAAUUUCCGUUUCGUACCCAUUGCAAACGUAUCAACAUUUGUUUUCAUUCAUUCUUUUCAGGUCUUUGUGGACAAUGUCGUAAGUCUCAAAAAUUCAUCAAUGAAAACCUGAAUUUAUGCACGGCAUGUCAUUCUUCACCUAUGUCAAAAAAAAUAUCAGAAGCAGCUACAUAUUCUGACGUGAAACAACCAGUUCCAGAUGCAGAAUUCCUGACACAGAUGAUCGAAAAUACUAAUGACUUGUUAGGAAAUGUAAUCAGGUUACUACAGUUUGAAAAAGAACAGCUUAAGAGGAUAGAAAGCAAAUCCGGUAUGAUGUCAGACGAAGAACUAAGAAGAGAGCAGAACGAAAGGCAAAGACUGUUGAUCCUGAGGAAUAUGUUGAAUCAGUAACAUUUAUCUACAGGGAUAAAGCCCAGAACAAGACGCUUCAAACUGGCAGAACGCGAGGAAUUGAUCAAGUUCGCCAUCAAACAAUGCCCAGAAACAGCACUUUGUAGAUAGAGUAUAUUAGAUAGAAUUUGAAAAAGAUGUACACAUUUGUAAAUCAAUUAGUCUCGUUAACGAUACCGCUGAUAAAAUAUUAUCUGUUGGUCAAUUUUCCUAGGAAGUUCUGGGGAUGACCUGACCGUAAGAAUUUCCUCUUUUUUCGUAAUGGCUGCCUGGCGUUUUUGUUCCUAAAUAUCUAAACGAUGUAUCCCCCUUUAAAAAUUUGGUAUUCCAUUCAAGAUGAAUAAAGCAAACACAGAAAUUGAAUUAGUUAUGUUGAAAAUUGUACCUUUACAGAAUGGAGACUAGUUGAUUAUCAGAUCAACAUUUACAACGUCAUAUUCAAUGUUUUUUUUCUCUUUGGCACUUUAAAUUAUUAAAUACCACUUGAUUCCCUGUACAACAUAUUUCGAAGGUGGUGUAUAUUUUUCAAAACUUGGGGGGGGGGCGGCGGCAAUGAAAGGCUUUUUUUUAAAUAGUAAGGAAUAUGUUAUUGAUAUCUGUUUUAACAUGACAAAUUGACUCCAGUUACGGCCUUCAAUAUGUCCAUGUGUGUAUAGAGGUGACAAAAGUAACACAAACUGUUAGACGACCUGCUAUUAUAUAUUCUGUGGAAUAACCUUAAAUCACCUUGAUCACGUGUAAGGAAUGCGUCCCCCAGUCUAGGCCUAUACUCUUUAAUGGGCCUAUAUUGAUUAUAUUUUAAUCGUUGAACCAUGGUUGAACGUUGACCCUUCCCGUACGGUGGAUGGCAAAUCCAGUCUAAGCUUUGAGAGUUUAAAUUAUAACCCAUAUUGUUUGAACUAAGAAGAUAUGUUUCUUUAUCUUAAAAACAGAAAUAGGUACCUCCGUUGUGAAUUUCGCAUCCAUUGAAGAUUAAUAUUUAUUUCCAGGGUAUAAAUGAAACAAAUUUAGACGUCAAAGUUAUGCUUUUUAAAGUUCAUUUACAAGAAUUUUCCAAAGUUUUGGUGGCGCAGAAAAGAUUACAGGAACUCUGUAUACUAAUGAUAUUUAGUGAAAAAAAAUAAUGUUUAAAUAUUGUUUGGCAUACGCUUGUGCAAGAAAUGUACGAUACAUGGUCCUGCUGAUAAUUGAUUCUCAGUCAAUUUCAAAGAAAAAACGGUCCAAUUUCUAUUUUCAAUUAAGUAAAUCCAAUUACUGUCAGAAACAGACUUGUCCCUGCUUGUGUUUUAUUGGAGGUAGUAAUGUAUAUGUAAAGUCUUGUACAAACUGUUCUGGUUAUCAUUAUCACUAAUUCUAUCAGUACUCGAUCUUAGAUUGAAAAAAAUAGUGUUUAAAAGUUUCACUCAAUACGGGCCUUUGUUGCCGGGGUUUGGGGGCUGCAACCUUCCCCAAGAUUAUCAACCUAGCAAUUUAUUUUGGCUAUCGUCACCUCAUCCCUAAAAUCUUCGUGGCCACGGUUACAUACUUCACUAAUGAAAUAAUAAUAAAACUCUAUCAGUGGAUAUAUAGCAUUGAUAAUAAUAAU